rnacentral:tRNA from 1 species
GCCAAUGUAGCUCAGAGGAUAGAGCGCUACUCUAGCGAUAGAGGUCGUCGGUUCGAGUCCGACCAUUGGCACCA